rnacentral:rRNA from 1 species
UACGUAGGUCGCAAGCGUUGUCCGGAUUUACCGGGCGUAAAGAGCGCGCAGGCGGCUGGUCAAGUCCGAUGUGAAAUCUCCCGGCUCAACUGGGAAACUGCAUCGGAAACUGAUCGGCUUGAAGAUGGGAGAGGGUAGUGGAAUUUCCGGUGUAGUGGUGAAAUGCGUAGAUAUCGGGAGGAACACCAGUGGCGAAGGCGACUACCUGGCCCAUUCUUGACGCUGAGGCGCGAAAGCUAGGGGAGCGAACGGG